CUUCAACCUUAAGGGGGCCUCA
rnacentral:miRNA from 1 species